GAUGAACGCUGGCGGCGUGCCUAAUACAUGCAAGUCGAGCGAACAGACGAGGAGCUUGCUCCUCUGACGUUAGCGGCGGACGGGUGAGUAACACGUGGAUAACCUACCUAUAAGACUGGGAUAACUUCGGGAAACCGGAGCUAAUACCGGAUAAUAUAUUGAACCGCAUGGUUCAAUAGUGAAAGACGGUUUUGCUGCCACUUAUAGAUGGAUCCGCGCCGCAUUAGCUAGUUGGUAAGGUAACGGCUUACCAAGGCAACGAUGCGUAGCCGACCUGAGAGGGUGAUCGGCCACACUGGAACUGAGACACGGUCCAGACUCCUACGGGAGGCAGCAGUAGGGAAUCUUCCGCAAUGGGCGAAAGCUUGACGGAGCAACGCCGCGUGAGUGAUGAAGGUCUUCGGAUCGUAAAACUCUGUUAUUAGGGAAGAACAAAUGUGUAAGUAACUAUGCACGUCUUGACGGUACCUAAUCAGAGAGCCGCGGCUAACUACGU
rnacentral:rRNA from 1 species